CUUUUUAAAUGUAUAAAGUGAAGAAUUCCUCUUCCCCCCUCCCCCUUUCCACUCCAAAGAACCAACCUCCUGUUAAUUAAACGCUGGAACUGUUGCUACUUUGCCAGAGGGGGAGAGUGAACCUGUGCCUGCAUGUGUGUAUGUGUAAAAUAGAUACAAAAAUGUCAAUGAACAGCAGGAAAAGUUCUGGGAGACCGUCUUACUACUAUCGACUGCUCCGGAGGUCACGACUUCAGAGACAGCGAAGCAGAUCCCGGAGCCGGAACAGGCCGCUUAGUAGGGAGUCCCCCCCGGAGAGGUGUGGGCAGAGACGCAGUAUGCCCAGUGGGGUCACUGAGAAGAACCCCACCAUGGAGCCCGCUGCCACAACGCCGUUCCGGGUCACGCUGAUUGUUCUUCCCUGACAUCUCCAUCCUUCUGCUACUGAGCCUCCAAGGGACAAAUAAAC
rnacentral:lncRNA from 1 species